GGCGCGCUGCCGCCGAGGGGAUGCCGCGGCGCGGCGCGGCGCGGCGCGGAGCGGGGCUGGGCGCCCGCGGAGGAGGUGGGAUACAUGCCAGGAGAGUACUUCAAGCUCUGACAAAGGCAGUUAACUUUUUGAGUGGAAGCUGAAGGUCUUUUGGAAAACUUUGUAGAAGGGACCUAAUACUCAUUCUUUUUUCUAUGUUCCUUAACAAGUUCAUAUAAUACAACAGGGCCUGCCCUUGCUUCUUUUUAAGCUGCUGUUGUCAGUCGGAUGGGAGUCUCUCAUAACAUUAGAAGAGAUGCAUCUCAGAUCCUGGAUGAGACUGUUCCGCUAAUUAAAGACAAGGUGAUGGAGAUGAACCACAUCUAUGCCAAAGUUGAUAAAUUAGAGCUUCUCUAUGGAAACUUGUUGAAUUUGCACUUCUAGAUCAAGACCAACAGCCAUUGCCCUGCUACGGCUCAGCGGAUGUGUCCUACUAAUGCAGACUAUAUUGGAAUUGAAGCCCUGGUUCUUCAUGCUUUCUCUGGUAGUCAGUGGACCUAGACUGUCUCUGAGGAUUUGACACAAUUAAGUGGUUAUAUUGAAAGACCCGCUUCUGUCUGAGUGGACCAUACUGCCCUCGAAAUGAAGGAUAGAUUAUUUUAUUUUGAAAAUCAAGAGACAUCAUCCAUCAGCAGCACACUGGUAUGAUCUGCCUGUACUCUACAGAAGGGAAGACUUUUUUCCUAUAAACUAUGUAGGUACAAAGUAUCAAAACCAUUAAUAUUUGAUUACCGAUAGCUUUCUAGGAAAGGCUGCCUGAGUUUGUUCCUACCAUUUAUACUUUAAAAUUUGAAAGAAACAACUGUUACAUUUCAGAUCUGUGGUUAGCAUCUUUAAGGGAAGCUUAAAAUGUGGGUAUGUGUGCAGACCAGAACAUCUAUUCUGUGAUUUGAUCACCCUACUUUGCUCCAUAAAUCUAGUAAAUCAGUGAAGAAAAUGUACAGGAACUCACUUUACCUUCACGCUUUAAGAAUCUUCUUAUACCUACAGUGAUCAGAAGGUUGAAGAGUGCUGUUAGUAUAGCAUGUUAAAACUGUCAUGUAAUGUAUUAAUACUUCACAAAUGUUUUAUAACUGAACAUCAGAUCAGUGUCAGUUUUGAAAUUCAAUAAACUGCACAUGGCUGAA